rnacentral:lncRNA from 1 species
AUUAAGCAGAGGUUUAUUUCAAUGAAGGUAACAACCCUCUCCAAGUGGGACUUGUUUUGCACAGAGCUGUGGAUCAUUCCUUUAUCUCCUCUAGAGAUGUAACUUGAAAACUUACUCUACAAAUAAUUAUUUUUACACCUUGAAAGUGGUGCUAAACUCAAGACCCCGAUUGAGCUGUCAUCAGCUAAACAAGUUCAAAACAAGAACUGCAAGAAAGGAGAAGUGCCUUCUGUUUGGACAGGUUCAGCCAAUUUCAGGUCAGACUAAGGACUUGAGGAUCCUCAUCACUCUUUCCUUGCAGGUCCAGGUAAUCCCACAGGAGUCUGGCCAAACUCCAUAAAGCUCCAUGGAAGCAGACUGGGACACUUCACUGAGGUGAGGCUGAAACUGGAC